UCCUGAGUGAAAAAAAAUAGUGAACAAGUGUGUAGAGAAUUUGUUCUAGCUUUGCGUUAACUAUCAAGCAACUUACAUACGUUUGCGAUUAAGUGACGCAAAUUGCUUACAUUUCUCAAGUGCAUUCCUUGUAGUAGUGUUCGAAGUGUAACAAUGUCGGUCAAAAGAAUGCGUCGAACCGGCCAAACCAGCAAGAUUAUCAAAGCUAAUAACGCUAAACUAGAGGCAGAAUUAUUUGGCGAGAGCAGUUCAUUCGGUGCUAACAUCAUUCCUGCAGCAACCACGUAUGAAGAUCCGGAACCAAUUAGCCAUCAUUCGUCAUAGCCGAUAAGCUCAUCCAAAUACGCGUUAGAGCUAUCAUCGCAGAUUCACCAGCGCGUGCGUUCAUAAAAGGUGUUGCAUACUUCAAUCAUAAACAUGGGUGCCAAAAAUGUACAGUAGAAGGAAAACAUCACAGUGCGGCACGUGUUUCCUAUUUUCUGGAUAUCGACGUAGUGGAGUAACAUUGCAUGUAAAUUAUAAUAUGCGUCUAUAUCCAUGUACUCAAGGUAAUUGGUUUUUAACUAAGGAUUUAUAUAUUGCUAAAUAUUGUAAGGCAGAAAAAAUAGGAUCAACGAUUAACAUUUAUGGGACAGCAUUUAACAAAAUGACAGAAACUCAUACAUUCUUUUGUUCGCCUAUGAUGAAAGACAUAUAUGAGGCAAAUACAAGCGACCUUACCAUAGAAUCGAUAGUUUUUUCAUCAACAGAUAUCAAGUGUAAAUUAGUAGCUAUUAAAACGGACGACACGAACUAUGUAUUUGUACCUCUCAUACAGACAUUAGUUGAAUGAAUAACUGUAAUAUUUUGAAUUAUCAAUUGUUAUGUUAUAAUAAAAAGUAAUAUUGUAAUUGUUUUCGAAAAAAUAAAUAAUAAUCACAUAUAAUCUGGUGUAUAUUACAUUGUAUUUGCGGCAAUCAGUAUACUGAUGAACCUUUCAAUAUUAAAUAUUUACUUUUAUCACAUACAUAAUUGACUUAGUUGUUUACGUGAUUGUUUCAGGUUUUAGUCAGUGUUUAAUUUAUCACAGCUUGUGUUACUUUCGUAUCACAUUUUUUGUCAUAAUUUUAUAUGACAGCAGUCUUUCACGUGGCCGGAUCGAACAACGUAUCCCAUUUGGAUCGUUUUGCUAUACGCAGGACGCAGCUACGAAUAAAAUUAAGAUAGUCAGAAUUAAAUAUAUACACUACUUAAACCUAUGUUUGGUAAAUAUGAAAAAGGCAAUACGACCGUUCUAAUUAAAAAAAAACAAAAAUUAAAACGUUAAGAGACUACAAAAGGAAAUAUAAAAACUAAAUAAAACUUAAACUAAAUAAUAACUUAAAUAUAAAUUUACAUAGUGCGUCUUGUGCGACUGAAAGUUUUUCUAAUGCCUUGCAUUGCUACUCUUUUAGGAGCAUAUGCAAGCUUUUUUUUUAUGUACAUUUCUACGAAGUUUAUAUCUACUUCUACGCCCAUGUGGUUUGUGGCUACAUUUUUUAAAAAUUGCAUAGUAUGUACAUAGUUUUUGAAGGCUAUUUUUCUUCCACCCGAUCCGAGCCAGCUACACUUGGCUAAAAAUUGUUUGUCGAACAUUAUAUCCAACACUUCAUGCAGUCGGCUUUUCGCGUUUUGGCUGGAUAAUUCAGCAUCCGCACGCUGUAUGAAGGUGUAAAACAAAUUUUCAUCUGUAAGAUGCUCUUCAAACCUGUCCAGUGACUCUUCGUUGCUUAUAUAUUGUAUCGGGAUGGUUUGAGCAUUGCGUCGCACGCCUUUCAUCGGGUGUAUUGUGGCCGAAAUUUCAUUCACUAUCGCAGCCGUUUGGGCGGUUCGGGCAUCCAGUUUUAAUAAUAAACAGUGUGAACAAAAAUCGUGCCCAGGACAAGUUGUUUUUGCUUGAACUAACUCUGUGUUCUUAUUUACAUUAAUAGAUACCGUGGACGGAUGAAUGCUGCUUGCUGACGACUGCUCUUCUUGAAAUGUUGAUCCCGGUGAUGAUGAAACACACGGUUCCGGUGUCAUGCUUGGUGACGGCUGACGGAAUCCUUGAUGCACGACAGUCGUUUUUGCCGGUCGCGCAAAGUCAUGCACGCAUGAACCAGCAGCUGAAGCAACAGACGAUUUCGGCGUCACACUUGUGGUCGCUAGUGGAACAAUACGCACGGAACUAGCAGGCACAAGAAUCAUUCCACGUAUCGCUUUCGUUGAGGGCUGCGAUCCUCGCUUUUGUGCCAUCGAUCCUGCCGGACGCGUAGCGAUAUCCACGGAACCAGCAUUGAGAGCAGUAGAAGAUUCCGACGUCGCAGACGAUCCUGCCGGCCGCGGAAUGACACGCAUGGAACCUGCAGCGGGAACAAAUGCCGGUACCGGCGUCGCACUAGUGGACGGCUGCGAUCCUCGCUUUUGUUCCACCGAUCCUGCCGGUCGCGUAGCGAUAUCCAUGGAACCAGCAUCGGGGGCAAGAGACGGUUCCGGCGUCGGUCUUGAUGACGUUCGCGGUCCAAAAACACGGACAAUCGCCCCUGUGGAGCAUAAUACAGCCGAAGGCAGUUGUUGCAGUGCAAAAAGGCACCCUUUCUUUGGUGGUUCCGACAUUAUAUUUUGGCUGAAAUAAUCAAUCGUUUUAUUAUUUUUUAUGUGAAACUGCUGAGUCGAAUUUGAAUGCUGCUUUGCGCCUUGAAAUCUGAAUGUUUAUGUUUUCAGCUGUGACUUUGAAUAAAGGGUAACAAUCACACGCA